rnacentral:tRNA from 1 species
GCCGUUCUGUGGCGACACCUGGCGCAUAUCCUGCGGACUUAAAAUCCGUAAAGUGUCGGUUCGAGUCCGACUGGGGGCA